rnacentral:rRNA from 1 species
UACGUAGGGGGCAAGCGUUGGUCCGGAAUUAUUGGGCGUAAAGAGCGCGUAGGCGGUCCGAUAAGUCGGCUGUGAAAGUCAGGGGCUCAACCCUUGAAAGGCCGGCCCGAUACUGUCGGACUAGAGUCCGGAAGAGGCGAGUGGAAUUCCCGGUGUAGCGGUGAAAUGCGCAGAUAUCGGGAAGGAACACCAAUGGCGAAGGC